rnacentral:piRNA from 1 species
GAGCCAAAUCUACUGCAGAGCAGGGGUGA